AUGUGCUUCAAAGAGAAGUUGCACUCUAAUGAACGGGUCUUGGAUCAGAGCCCCCUCUGCCGAGAUCCUACAUUAAACCACUGGGGGCUACACUUAAAUAUCUCCUGCACCUGGAGAACUACUGCAACACUGGCUGAAACAUCAUUGUACUUCAGACUCCCAAGUACUAUGUCUGGCCCCUUAGAGUUCCUUUCUACAACACUAGUACAUCAUAUUCACAUGACUCAGCUCAAGGGUGAACUUGUUUUGUUCCUCUUCUCUGAGUGUCCUAGAGAAGUGAUCCAUUGUGCUCUGCCAUCCAUCUUGCUGGCCAUGUCUCCAUUUGAAGUACCUUUUUACUUUUCUUCAGCAUUUGAUGCAGGGGUAGAGUGUGUAUCAAAGACAGAGAAUAGGAAAUGGGCUGCACGAUGAACACAUCACCAAACAAGGAACAGAUGGACCCAUUGACCCACAUAGCAUAACGCAACAUGGCACGCACUGAAGUGAGAGUGGUGCCUGUAUUAUUACAUACAACGGUGUAUUCUGUAACGCCUUGAGCAAUAUUUCAAAGAGGAUAUCAUUAUGCAUACACUACAAUAAAGUGGAUUGAAAUGAACUGCAUCAUUGGUGUUGAGCAAAACCUGCAACAGAAAGUUGAGAAGUGUCGAGGUAAGUAAGACAAAUGAAUUAUAUUUUAAUGGAACAUAAAUAUAGGACUUUGAAAGGUUAAAAUCACAGUUAAAUUCACAGGUGGCACCUUAAUUGGGGAGGACGUGCGCGUGAUAACGGCUGGAGUGGAAUAGGUGGAAUGGUAUCAAAUACAUCAAACACGUGGUUACCAUGGUUACCAUGUGUUUGAUUCAUUUCCAUUCACUCUGUUAUUAUGUGCCAUUCUCCCCUCAGCAGCCCCCACUGGUUAAAAUGUUGAGAAGAAGUCAGGAGUUGGCUGGAAUACCUGUUGGGAUUGUAUUAAGGAAGAAAUUAAAUGUCUGCAUAGUCAAUAUUCACUACUUCAUCAUAAAAACUGAUUUAUUGUCAAUGUCUUUCAAAGUACACUUAAAUCAUAUUAGAGCUAAGGCUUUUUAUGGCAUGACCUGUAGAGCAUGGAAAAUGCAGCAAUGAGAGGACAAUUUAACUAAUGCACUGUCACACCCUGGUCAAAGUAUUUUGUGUUUAUCUUUAUUUAUUUGGUCAGGCCAGGGUGUGGCAUGGGUUUUUGUAUGUGGUGUGUAUGUGUGGGGAUUGUAGCUAGUGGGGUGUUCUAGCUAAGUCUAUGGCUGUCUGAAGUGGUUCUCAAUCAGAGGCAGGUGUUUAUCGUUGUCUCUGAUUGGGAACCAUAUUUAGGCAGCCAUAUUCUUUGAGUUUGUCGUGGGUGAUUGUCCUUAGUGUCCUGAUGUCAUUGUUCUGUGUUAGGAUACACAAGUAUAGGCUGUUUCGGGUUUUGUUAAGUUUAUUGUUUUGGUAGUGUUUGUGUUC
rnacentral:lncRNA from 1 species